rnacentral:tRNA from 1 species
GCCGGGGUACCCUAGCCAGAGGGCCGACUACCGGCUAAGAAAGGGGCCGGACUCGAGAUCCGGUGGCCUCCGGGCCUCGUGGGUUCAAAUCCCACCCCCGGCG